AGAGACAGCAGCAGCCACGGUAAUACGAAGGGGGCAAGCGUUGUUCGGAUUUACUGGGCGUAAAGCGUACGUAGGCGGAUAUUUAAGUCAGGGGUGAAGUCCCGAGGCUCAACCUCGGAACUGCCUUUGAUACUGGGUAUCUUGAGUCCGGGAGAGGUGAGUGGAACUCCUAGUGUAGAGGUGAAAUUCGUAGAUAUUAGGAAGAACACCAGUGGCGAAGGCGGCUCACUGGCCCGGAACUGACGCUGAGGUACGAAAGCGUGGGGAGCAAACAGGAUUAGAUACUCCUGUAGUCCCUGUCUCUUAUAA
rnacentral:rRNA from 1 species